rnacentral:rRNA from 1 species
CACGUAGGGCGCGAGCGUUGUCCGGAAUUAUUGGGCGUAAAGAGCUCGUAGGCGGCCUGUUGCGUCCGCUGUGAAAGCCCGGGGCUUAACCCCGGGUCGGCAGUGGAUACGGGCAGGCUAGAGGUAGGUAGGGGAGAAUGGAAUUCCCGGUGUAGCGGUGAAAUGCGCAGAUAUCGGGAGGAACACCGGUGGCGAAGGCGGCGAUCUGGCCCAACAUUGACACUCAGACCCGAAAGUGC